CGAUCCAACUACUAUCCAAUCCCUUACAUUUAGGGCAUAUGUUUCUUUUUGGAAAGUACCCACAUGAACUAUAUUUCCCUAUUUUGAUGCUACCCUUCUGAAUCUUGAUGUUCUUCCUCCAUUGUUCUCCAUGAUGAAGCUCAAUCUGCUCAGCUUGACUUAGCUCCAUUUCCAUGAUGAAGGAUCAACUUGUUGCUCUGAUCUGCACCGUAAUCCGCCUUGAUUGAAACCUUUUAGCUGAGUUUGCUCCCUCUCGGUCUACAUAGCCCUUUUCCCCCCUUCUUUUUUGUGUAAACUUGCUACUCAUAUCUGUCAAAUACUGUGUGGUGAUCUUCUUGUUACUUUCUAGAGUAUUUGUAGAUAAGUGAUGUUCAUUGCCCUUCACUGUCUCUGUUAAUGCUUGGUCUUGAAUGUAGUUAA